rnacentral:rRNA from 1 species
UACGAAGGGGGCUAGCGUUGUUCGGAAUCACUGGGCGUAAAGGGCGCGUAGGCGGCCGAUCAAGUCGGGUGUGAAAGCCCCGGGCUCAACCUGGGAAUUGCAUUCGAGACUGAAUAGCUAGGGUACGGUAGAGGGAAGCGGAAUUUCCGGUGUAGCGGUGAAAUGCGUAGAUAUCGGAAGGAACACCAACGGCGAAAGCACUCUGCUGGGCCGACACUGACACUGAGAGACGAAAGCUAGGGGAGCGAAUGGG